UACGUAGGGUGCAAGCGUUGUCCGGAAUUAUUGGGCGUAAAGAGCUCGUAGGCGGUUUGUCGCGUCUUGCUGUGAAAACUCGGGGCUUAACUCCGGGCCUGCAGUGGGUACGGGCAGACUAGAGUGCGGUAGGGGAGACUGGAAUUCGGGUGUAGUGGUGAAAUGCGUAGAGAUCCGGAGGAACACCAGUGGCGAAGGCGACACGCUGGGCCGUACCUGAACACUGAUG
rnacentral:rRNA from 1 species